rnacentral:rRNA from 1 species
AGAGUUUGAUCAUGGCUCAGGACGAACGCUGGCGGCGUGCCUAAUACAUGCAAGUCGAACGCUUUUUCUUUCACCGGAGCUUGCUCCACCGAAAGAAAAAGAGUGGCGAACGGGUGAGUAACACGUGGGUAACCUGCCCAUCAGAAGGGGAUAACACUUGGAAACAGGUGCUAAUACCGUAUAACACUAUUUUCCGCAUGGAAGAAAGUUGAAAGGCGCUUUUGCGUCACUGAUGGAUGGACCCGCGGUGCAUUAGCUAGUUGGUGAGGUAACGGCUCACCAAGGCCACGAUGCAUAGCCGACCAUGAGAGGGUGAUCGGCCACACUGGGACUGAGACACGGCCCAGACUCCUACGGGAGGCAGCAGUAGGGAAUCUUCGGCAAUGGACGAAAGUCUGACCGAGCAACGCCGCGUGAGUGAAGAAGGUUUUCGGAUCGUAAAACUCUGUUGUUAGAGAAGAACAAGGAUGAGAGUAGAACGUUCAUCCCUUGACGGUAUCUAACCAGAAAGCCACGGCUAACUACGUGCCAGCAGCCGCGGUAAUACGUAGGUGGCAAGCGUUGUCCGGAUUUAUUGGGCGUAAAGCGAGCGCAGGCGGUUUCUUAAGUCUGAUGUGAAAGCCCCCGGCUCAACCGGGGAGGGUCAUUGGAAACUGGGAGACUUGAGUGCAGAAGAGGAGAGUGGAAUUCCAUGUGUAGCGGUGAAAUGCGUAGAUAUAUGGAGGAACACCAGUGGCGAAGGCGGCUCUCUGGUCUGUAACUGACGCUGAGGCUCGAAAGCGUGGGGAGCGAACAGGAUUAGAUACCCUGGUAGUCCACGCCGUAAACGAUGAGUGCUAAGUGUUGGAGGGUUUCCGCCCUUCAGUGCUGCAGC